AUUGAACGCUGGCGGCAUGCCUUACACAUGCAAGUCGAACGGCAGCACGGGCUUCGGUCUGGUGGCGAGUGGCGAACGGGUGAGUAAUGUAUCGGAACGUACCUUUCAGUGGGGGAUAACGUAGCGAAAGUUACGCUAAUACCGCAUAUUCUGUGAGCAGGAAAGCAGGGGAUCGCAAGACCUUGCGCUGAUUGAGCGGCCGAUAUCAGAUUAGCUAGUUGGUGAGGUAAAGGCUCACCAAGGCGACGAUCUGUAGCGGGUCUGAGAGGAUGAUCCGCCACACUGGAACUGAGACACGGUCCAGACUCCUACGGGAGGCAGCAGUGGGGAAUUUUGGACAAUGGGGGCAACCCUGAUCCAGCCAUGCCGCGUGAGUGAAGAAGGCCUUCGGGUUGUAAAGCUCUUUCGGCCGGGAAGAAAUCGCACGGGUUAAUACCCUGUGUGGAUGACGGUACCGGAAUAAGAAGCACCGGCUAACUACGUGCCAGCAGCCGCCGUAAGAC
rnacentral:rRNA from 1 species